CAGUCGCCACGGUAAUACGAAGGUCCCGAGCGUUGUUCGGAAUCACUGGGCGUAAAGGGAGCGUAGGCGGCGUGGUAAGUCAGAUGUGAAAUCCCGGGGCUCAACCCCGGAGCUGCAUCCGAUACUGCCAUGCUAGAGGAUUGGAGAGGUAGCUGGAAUUCUUGGUGUAGCAGUGAAAUGCGUGGAGAUCAAGAGGAACACUCGUGGCGAAAGCGAGCUACUGGACAAUAUCUGACGCUGAGGCUCGAAGGCCAGGGUAGCGAAAGGGAUUAGAUACCCCAGUAGUCCCUGUCUCUUAUAC
rnacentral:rRNA from 1 species